AAACCAGCCAAUUAAUCUGCUUAUCUGAAUGUGUUUCUGUAAAAAUUUAGGAAAAGCUGGCAGUAGCGAUGCCAUAUUAAGGACCACUAAAUUUGUUAAGGUCCCGGAAAAAGGCUGCAAUG
rfam:Neotoma lepida isolate 417 scaffold_24025, whole genome shotgun sequence.